AUCCAGCUGACGAGUCCCAAACAGUACGAAACGCGCGUCCUGGAU
rfam:Schistosoma haematobium scaffold544_27, whole genome shotgun sequence.